GACAGAGGCCCCAAGCGCUAGGCGGAAUCAUUGGGCGUAAAGCGCACGUAGGCGGUCUGUUAUGUCGGAUGUGAAAGCCCUCGGCUCAACUGAGGAAGUGCAUCCGAAACUGGCAGGCUAGAGUACUAAAGAGGGUCGCGGAAUUCCCGGUGUAGAGGUGAAAUUCGUAGAUAUCGGGAGGAACACCGGUGGCGAAGGCGGCGACCUGGGUAGAUACUGACGCUGAGGUGCGAAAGCGUGGGGAGCAAACAGG
rnacentral:rRNA from 1 species